UACGUAGGGUGCGAGCGUUAAUCGGAAUUACUGGGCGUAAAGCGUGCGUAGGCGGUUUUGUAAGUCAGAUGUGAAAUCCCCGGGCUUAACCUGGGAACUGCGUUUGAAACUGCAGAGCUAGAAUGCGGCAGAGGGGGGUGGAAUUCCACGUGUAGCAGUGAAAUGCGUAGAUAUGUGGAGGAACACCGAUGGCGAAGGCAACCCCCUGGGCCGACAUUGACGCUGAGGCACGAAAGCGUGGGGAGCAAACAGGAUUAGAUACCCUGGUAGUCCACGCCCUAAACUAUGUCAACUAGUUGUCGGGAAAGCAAUUUCUUGGUAACGAAGCUAACGCGUGAAGUUGACCGCCUGGGGAGUACGGUCGCAAGAUUA
rnacentral:rRNA from 1 species